UCCCAGUUGUAGUUGGUCGUUCGG
rnacentral:miRNA from 1 species